UGCAGACAUGAGUCGGGCGCUUGUGUGUGUGCUGACGGCUGCUUGGAGCCUGGGAAUCAGCGGCCAGAUGGUGCACCAGCCGGAACGGGACGUCCACGCCGUUGAGGGUGCAGCAGUGACGCUCGACUGCAGCUCCGACAGUUCGAUGUCGGGCGACUACAUCUUCUGGUACAAACAAGAAGUGAGCUCACUGCCGGACUUCAUCCUGAGCACAUCUCAGUUUGGUCAGGGCAAAAAGGGAGAAAAGUACGGUGAAAGGUUUCGCUCCAGCAUGGAUGCCACCGCUCGGCAAGCUCCUCUGCAUAUCGAACGCGUGAAGCCCAGCGACUCGGGAGUCUUCUACUGCGCCCUGCAGCCCACGCUGACACAUUCACUGGCGUGCCUGCACAAAAACGCCUGCGCCUGCCUCAUCUCAUGAGUGAAAUUGGGGGCGUGGCCUCACCGGAGUA